rnacentral:rRNA from 1 species
AUUGAACGCUGGCGGCAGGCCUAACACAUGCAAGUCGAGCGGAUGAAGGGAGCUUGCUCCUGGAUUCAGCGGCGGACGGGUGCGUAAUGCCUAGGAAUCUGCCUGGUAGUGGGGGAUAACGUCCGGAAACGGGCGCUAAUACCGCAUACGUCCUGCGGGAGAAAGUGGGGGAUCUUCGGACCUCACGCUAUCAGAUGCGCCUAGGUCGGAUUAGCUAGUUGGUGGGGUAAAGGCCUACCAAGGCGACGAUCCGUAACUGGUCUGAGAGGAUGAUCAGUCACACUGGAACUGAGACACGGUCCAGACUCCUACGGGAGGCAGCAGUGGGGAAUAUUGGACAAUGGGCGAAAGCCUGAUGCAGCCAUGCCGCGUGUGUGAAGAAGGUCUUCGGAUUGUAAAGCACUUUAAGUUGGAAGGAAGGGCAGUAAGUUAAUACCUUGCUGUUUUGACGUUACCAACAGAAUAAGCACCGGCUAACUUCGUG